rnacentral:tRNA from 1 species
UGGGAUGUAGCUCAGUUGGUGAAUGUUUGUCCAGAACAUAAAAAGCCCUGGGUUCCACCCCCAGAAUCACAG